CACGGCGGCACUCCGGAGAUGCGCCCUUUGUCACCCGGCCCCGAUGGCCACGCCGGGCCCCGCCGCCGGACCCCGCGCAGGGUGUGCGAAAAUAGAAUGAAGAAGCGAAAUGUGAAAGCUAUUGGAAUUCACCAGUGUCCCUCCCUAACUCAAGGAGUCAAAUCGCAUUGACCUCUUUCUACUGCCGCACGAGAUGGACAACACGACUGCUUUCGACACCGAAAUUUCAUUCUGAAAGACCCCUCGCACACAGAAAGCAGCACGCAGUGACUGGGCUCUCAAGCACGUGCUGCAGAUUAUUUCAAAGGAUACUGGGUAUAGCUAACAGUUUUAAUGAGAAUCAAACAUGCUCGGUUCAACUAGGCACUCCUACAGAAUGGAGGGAGUUUUCACUUUCCCUUGGAUUAAACUCGCCGUGUUAAAACAAAAUUGCUAACAAGAGCUAGUCAAGCCUAACAAGAUAAAAAUCCCCCCCACAAAAAAUCCUGCAAGAAAUUUUAGAGCCCCUGUAUCACUCACUGUUUUUGCAUUGAAAUGACCUUCCAAAUAAGGUGUUAAAUAAUACGGUUCACAUAGAUGAUAGUGAUCUAACCUUGAUGCAAAUAAACCAUAGAACAAAAUUUAAUCAGUAUAUCACUGUGUAAAAGCCUUUGUCCAUCCCAAUGGAGCUUCUAAUGACUGUUUUGGCAGUUCUGGCUGGUAGUUAUGCCUCCCUGCUCAUAUAUAUCUCAUACUGGUUGAGCAAGCUAAUGGAACUGCUGUUAGUGGAAUCCAAUAUUAAUACCCUGCAUCAUGCAAAACUGGAUGCAACUGAAUAUAUUACACAAUUACAGGUAGUGUCUAAUUCCAUAGGUAUUAGAUGCUGGAGUCAAUUAAUAUUUUAAUAGAGAAAGUGAAAUAAAUACUACAUUUCAGGUAAGAUGUAUACAGAGUCUGGG